rnacentral:rRNA from 2 species
UUAAGCGACUAAGCGUACACGGUGGAUGCCCUGGCAGUCAGAGGCGAUGAAGGACGUGCUAAUCUGCGAUAAGCGUCGGUAAGGUGAUAUGAACCGUUAUAACCGGCGAUUUCCGAAUGGGGAAACCCAGUGUGAUUCGUCACACUAUCAUUAACUGAAUCCAUAGGUUAAUGAGGCGAACCGGGGGAACUGAAACAUCUAAGUACCCCGAGGAAAAGAAAUCAACCGAGAUUCCCCCAGUAGCGGCGAGCGAACGGGGAGCAGCCCAGAGCCUGAAUCAGUGUGUGUGUUAGUGGAAGCGUCUGGAAAGGCGCGCGAUACAGGGUGACAGCCCCGUACACAAAAAUGCACAUACUGUGAGCUCGAUGAGUAGGGCGGGACACGUGGUAUCCUGUCUGAAUAUGGGGGGACCAUCCUCCAAGGCUAAAUACUCCUGACUGACCGAUAGUGAACCAGUACCGUGAGGGAAAGGCGAAAAGAACCCCGGCGAGGGGAGUGAAAAAGAACCUGAAACCGUGUACGUACAAGCAGUGGGAGCACAGAGCAAUCUGUGUGACUGCGUACCUUUUGUAUAAUGGGUCAGCGACUUAUAUUCUGUAGCAAGGUUAACCGAAUAGGGGAGCCGAAGGGAAACCGAGUCUUAACUGGGCGUUAAGUUGCAGGGUAUAGACCCGAAACCCGGUGAUCUAGCCAUGGGCAGGUUGAAGGUUGGGUAACACUAACUGGAGGACCGAACCGACUAAUGUUGAAAAAUUAGCGGAUGACUUGUGGCUGGGGGUGAAAGGCCAAUCAAACCGGGAGAUAGCUGGUUCUCCCCGAAAGCUAUUUAGGUAGCGCCUCGUGAAUUCAUCUCCGGGGGUAGAGCACUGUUUCGGCAAGGGGGUCAUCCCGACUUACCAACCCGAUGCAAACUGCGAAUACCGGAGAAUGUUAUCACGGGAGACACACGGCGGGUGCUAACGUCCGUCGUGAAGAGGGAAACAACCCAGACCGCCAGCUAAGGUCCCAAAGUCAUGGUUAAGUGGGAAACGAUGUGGGAAGGCCCAGACAGCCAGGAUGUUGGCUUAGAAGCAGCCAUCAUUUAAAGAAAGCGUAAUAGCUCACUGGUCGAGUCGGCCUGCGCGGAAGAUGUAACGGGGCUAAACCAUGCACCGAAGCUGCGGCAGCGACGCUUAUGCGUUGUUGGGUAGGGGAGCGUUCUGUAAGCCUGCGAAGGUGUGCUGUGAGGCAUGCUGGAGGUAUCAGAAGUGCGAAUGCUGACAUAAGUAACGAUAAAGCGGGUGAAAAGCCCGCUCGCCGGAAGACCAAGGGUUCCUGUCCAACGUUAAUCGGGGCAGGGUGAGUCGACCCCUAAGGCGAGGCCGAAAGGCGUAGUCGAUGGGAAACAGGUUAAUAUUCCUGUACUUGGUGUUACUGCGAAGGGGGGACGGAGAAGGCUAUGUUGGCCGGGCGACGGUUGUCCCGGUUUAAGCGUGUAGGCUGGUUUUCCAGGCAAAUCCGGAAAAUCAAGGCUGAGGCGUGAUGACGAGGCACUACGGUGCUGAAGCAACAAAUGCCCUGCUUCCAGGAAAAGCCUCUAAGCAUCAGGUAACAUCAAAUCGUACCCCAAACCGACACAGGUGGUCAGGUAGAGAAUACCAAGGCGCUUGAGAGAACUCGGGUGAAGGAACUAGGCAAAAUGGUGCCGUAACUUCGGGAGAAGGCACGCUGAUAUGUAGGUGAAGUCCCUCGCGGAUGGAGCUGAAAUCAGUCGAAGAUACCAGCUGGCUGCAACUGUUUAUUAAAAACACAGCACUGUGCAAACACGAAAGUGGACGUAUACGGUGUGACGCCUGCCCGGUGCCGGAAGGUUAAUUGAUGGGGUUAGCGCAAGCGAAGCUCUUGAUCGAAGCCCCGGUAAACGGCGGCCGUAACUAUAACGGUCCUAAGGUAGCGAAAUUCCUUGUCGGGUAAGUUCCGACCUGCACGAAUGGCGUAAUGAUGGCCAGGCUGUCUCCACCCGAGACUCAGUGAAAUUGAACUCGCUGUGAAGAUGCAGUGUACCCGCGGCAAGACGGAAAGACCCCGUGAACCUUUACUAUAGCUUGACACUGAACAUUGAGCCUUGAUGUGUAGGAUAGGUGGGAGGCUUUGAAGUGUGGACGCCAGUCUGCAUGGAGCCGACCUUGAAAUACCACCCUUUAAUGUUUGAUGUUCUAACGUUGACCCGUAAUCCGGGUUGCGGACAGUGUCUGGUGGGUAGUUUGACUGGGGCGGUCUCCUCCUAAAGAGUAACGGAGGAGCACGAAGGUUGGCUAAUCCUGGUCGGACAUCAGGAGGUUAGUGCAAUGGCAUAAGCCAGCUUGACUGCGAGCGUGACGGCGCGAGCAGGUGCGAAAGCAGGUCAUAGUGAUCCGGUGGUUCUGAAUGGAAGGGCCAUCGCUCAACGGAUAAAAGGUACUCCGGGGAUAACAGGCUGAUACCGCCCAAGAGUUCAUAUCGACGGCGGUGUUUGGCACCUCGAUGUCGGCUCAUCACAUCCUGGGGCUGAAGUAGGUCCCAAGGGUAUGGCUGUUCGCCAUUUAAAGUGGUACGCGAGCUGGGUUUAGAACGUCGUGAGACAGUUCGGUCCCUAUCUGCCGUGGGCGCUGGAGAACUGAGGGGGGCUGCUCCUAGUACGAGAGGACCGGAGUGGACGCAUCACUGGUGUUCGGGUUGUCAUGCCAAUGGCACUGCCCGGUAGCUAAAUGCGGAAGAGAUAAGUGCUGAAAGCAUCUAAGCACGAAACUUGCCCCGAGAUGAGUUCUCCCUGACUCCUUGAGAGUCCUGAAGGAACGUUGAAGACGACGACGUUGAUAGGCCGGAUGUGUAAGCGCAGCGAUGCGUUGAGCUAACCGGUACUAAUGAACCGUGAGGCUUAACCUU